rnacentral:lncRNA from 1 species
AGAUAACGAAUUAGUUAUGAAUUUUAGAAGUUCAAGUAACACAACAGAAUUUUACUCAGGACCAGUUUACAUUCAAAGCAGAUUUUCACGAAGCAAACAAACUGAUAUCAAUUAGACUAUAACUAAACACUUAAAGAUCAUUCUCAGAGGUUUCAUAAUUGAUAAAGAUCACAAUUUUACGGCAAAUAACGAGGGAGAUAUGAAUUUUUAAACACGGAACAACUCAGCAGAAAAGUAUAAACAGCCCUGAAUCUUUGUAAAUCAGUUUAGACAAUUAAAUCAAUUUAAACAACAAAUAGGUAUGACUGUUAACGAAAUAUUAUAUCUCAAGCUUUCCAGAUUGGUAUCAUGAGUAAAUGUUCGACAUACGAUCAAUUUAUAGCGAAUGUUUGAACAUGGGAAGAAAGUUUCACGACUAAGAACGAAAGGGUAACAACUAAUGUGAUUUUAAGCAUAGAUGCACUGCUAAUUUCGAAAUACGUCCUGAGACAAAGGUUGUAGGUAUCGAAGAGAGCUUUUCAGAAUGUCCAGAAUCAACAAAAUCCGAUUAAUUUUCAAUUUACUACGAUUUUUACAAUCCAACUGAUUCACAGAAAAUACUAUAUACGAAUUUCAGCAUAAACAAUUAAGCAAACAAGAUAUAUUUACAUCAAAUACACAUGACAAGGAGCGAUAAAUCAAUAACUCAAGUCAACAUAUACGUGUUAGAAUCAAAGAGGAAAAGAGAGCAUACCCGUCCACGUAAAUUGUUGUAUGACUUAUUUGGAUUCUAAAGAGAUUAUUAUAUAGCACAUAAAACCUAAUCGUAAAUAGGAAGUUCCAAACUUGGGUCACAAUUUUCUCCACCUCAUAAACCAAUUUACAAAUAUAAGGUCUUCUCAAGAAGAUUUCGAUUUUCGAUAAUAUUUCUACGCUUCUUUCCAUGAAUAAAGAAUUCUCUCUAUUUUAUUAUUCAAAUAACUAACACAAAAUAAAUUGUAGAAGCUUCCAAUUAAUGCUAAUAUCUAAUUAUAUAAAUACAAACAAUUUAAAUCUAAUAUCUAACUCAUAAUAACAAUACUAAUUAAAUAAAAAUAUUUAAAUAAAUAAAUAAAAUCACAGGAUUUUACAUUCUACCUUCCUUAGAAAGAAUUUGGUCCCCAAAUUCUCCCAAAUCUAUUCUCCAAAACCCAUCUAAAAGUCAAGACACACAAUUAAAAACUCACUAACCACUGACAAGUCAAACUUGAACCUCGGUACUCGGAUCGCACCCUGGGGAAUGAGCUAGUCAUAUACCUAACACACUCCGAAGGACAACCUCGCUCUGAUACCAACUGUAACACCCCGACUUUUCGGAAUAUUAAAAACUAAUUUCACGACAUAAAUAAUAUCAUUACUUAAAUCAAAAUCCACAAAUAAUAUAUAAGUCAAAGCAGCGGUCAAACCCAAUAAUCAGAAGUCAUGAACUUAGAGACGCAGCUCCAUAAAUCCAAAACCAAUAUCUAAUAAACUCAUCAAAUUAUUCUAAAUAAACAAUAAGUCUUUAUUCACUAAUGCAAAUAAUCACGAAGCAUAGAAUCAAAAAGUCCUCAUUCUUAUUCCCAAAAUUCUUCCACGUGAUAGAACCUGAAAUAUUAGAAAAACGGAUGAGCUACACAGCUCAGCAAGUAACAAUUUGACUCACAGUUAAUUUCGAAAUCAGUGGGCGUUUUUAUGAAACAUUGUUGCUCAAAACAAUUAUAACUUUAAAACACUUGUAAAAACAAAUCCAACCCACAGUUUAUAUUUUAAAAGCAAACAUAACAAAAAACAGAAACAAAAAUCUUAUAAAUACCACAGUCUUGCUCUACGGCCACACUUUCCCAGUGACCACGAUCUUAUUCUUAUUAUUUUGCCACACUUACCCAGUGACCGAGAUCUAAAGUUCAAUAAUCACGCGCACUUAAUAGGUAUCUGAAGUUGCACACUUGUGCGCCUACUAAGGGUAUCUAAGGCUAGUUCCGGAACUAUAGCGUAGACUACGAACGGGUUCGAAACGUAGAGACUGGGUCUUCAAAGAUUCUCAUGUCUUAUAUCUUAUAAACUUCGAAACAAAAUUCUUAUGUCUUAUAACAAAAAUCUGAAAUUUGCGAAAUCAAAAUAUCCUUUCGAAAAAGUAAGUCAAAAGGUACUUACCUCAAAGUAGACACUUAAAAUCCGAAAUUAAUAACACGAACAAAGCCUAUACAUUUAAUUAAUAAACAAAACAUAAUUAACAUGUAGCUUAAACAAUCAAGAGCAAGGCACAUAACAAGUCUUAACAAAUUUUAAACUUUAACAACUAAUAACAAUUAACACAAUUUAAUUACCGAAUAAGACAAAUAACAAUGCAUGCUGUUACAAAUCUCAAUAUUAAUCAAAGAUAGCUUCUGAAUAUUAGAAAAUAGUCAACUGGAGAAUCAAAGUACAUUCAACAAGGAUUCCAAAAUGACAAGAUUCAUGGUAAACGGACAGAUAACGAAUUAGUUAUGAAUUUUAGAAGUUCAAGUAACACAACAGAAUUUUACUCAGGACCAGUUUACAUUCAAAGCAGAUUUUCACGAAGCAAACAAACUGAUAUCAAUUAGACUAUAACUAUACACUUAAAGAUCAUUCUCAGAGGUUUCAUAAUUGAUAAAGAUCACAAUUUUACGGCAAAUAACGAGGGAGAUAUGAAUUUUUAAACACGGAACAACUCAGCAGAAAAGUAUAAACAGCCCUGAAUCUUUGUAAAUCAGUUUAGACAAUUAAAUCAAUUUAAACAACAAAUAGGUAUGACUGUUAACGAAAGAUUAUAUCUCAAGCUUUCCAGAUUGGUAUCAUGAGUAAAUGUUCGACAUACGAUCAAUUUAUAGCGAAUUUUUGAACAUGGGAAAAAAGUUUCACGACUAAGAAUUAAAGGGUAACAACUAAUGUGAUUUUAAGCAUAGAUGCACUGCUAAUUUCGAAAUACGUCCUGAGACAAAGGUUGUAGGUAUCGAAGAGAGCUUUUCAGAAUGUCCAAAAUCAACAAAAUCCGAUUAAUUUUCAACUUACUACGAUUUUUACAACCCAACUGAUUC